AUACGUAGGGGGCGAGCGUUGUCCGGAAUGAUUGGGCGUAAAGGGCGCGUAGGCGGCCCGGUAAGUCUGGAGUGAAAGUCCUGUUUUUGAGAUGGGAAUUGCUUUGGAUACUGUCGGGCUUGAGUGCAGGAGAGGUAAGUGGAAUUCCCAGUGUAGCGGUGAAAUGCGUAGAGAUUGGGAGGAACACCAGUGGCGAAGGCGACUUACUGGACUGUAACUGACGCUGAGGCGCGAAAGUGUGGGGAGCAAACAGGAUUAGAUACCCUGGUAGUCCACACUGUAAACGAUGAAUGCUAGGUGUAGGGGGUAUCGACCCCUUCUGUGCCGCAGUCAACACAAUAAGCAUUCCGCCUGGGGAGUACGGCCGCAAGAAUGAAACUCAAAGGAAUUGACGGGG
rnacentral:rRNA from 1 species